rnacentral:rRNA from 1 species
UGCCAGCAGCCGCGGUAACACGAACCGUACGGACGUUAUUCGGAAUUAUUGGGCUUAAAGGGUGCGUAGGCGGCGCUGUAAGUCAGGUGUGAAAUCCCACGGCUCAACCGUGGAAUUGCGCCCGAUACUGCAGUGCUUGAGGGAGACAGGGGUGAGCGGAACUGAUGGUGGAGCGGUGAAAUGCGUUGAUAUCAUCAGGAACACCGGUGGCGAAAGCGGCUCACUGGGUCUCAUCUGACGCUGAGGUACGAAAGCGUGGGGAGCGAACAGGAUUAGAUA